rnacentral:rRNA from 1 species
AGAGUUUGAUCCUGGCUCAGGACGAACGCUGGCGGCGUGCUUAACACAUGCAAGUUGAACGUGAUUUUAUAGACGGAUUUCUUCGGAAUGACGAUUAUAAAUGAAAGUAGCGAACGGGUGAGUAACACGUGAGAAACCUGCCUUUCACAAAGGGAUAGCCUCGGGAAACCGGGAUUAAUACCUUAUGAUACAUAGAAAUCGCAUGAUAGCUAUGUUAAAGAUUUUAUCGGUGAAAGAUGGUCUCGCGUCUGAUUAGCUAGUUGGUGGGGUAAAGGCCUACCAAGGCGAUGAUCAGUAGCCGGAUUGAGAGGUUGAACGGCCACACUGGAACUGAGACACGGUCCCAGACUCCUACGGGAGGCAGCAGUGGGGAAUUUUGCACAAUGGGGGAAACCCUGAUGCAGCGACGCCGCGUGUACGAUGAAGAUCUUCGGAUUGUAAAGUACUGUCCUUGGUGAAGAUAAUGACUGUAACCAAGAAGCAAGCCCUGGCUAAAUACGUGCCAGCAGCCGCGGUAA